GAUUUCGCAAGGGCGAAAGCCUGACGGAGCAAUACCGCGUGGGGGAAGGAAGCUCUUGGGUUGUAAACCUCUUUUCUCUGGGAAGAAAGUUGUGAAAGCAACCUGAACAGUACCCGANGAAUCAGNAUCGGCNAACUCCGUGCCAACNGACCGCGGUAAGACGGAGGAUGCAAGCUUUAUCCGGAAUGAUUGGGCGUAAAGCGUCCGCAGGUGGNACUUCAAGUCUGCUGUCCAAGACCGGGGCUUAACUUCGGAAAGGCAGUGGAAACUGAACAGCUAGAGUAUGGUAAGGUCCCAGGGAAUUCCUGGUGUAGCGGUGAAAUGCGUAGAAAUCAGGAAGAACAUCCGUGGCUGAAGGCGCUCUGCUGGACCAUAACUGACACUCAUGGACGAAAGCUAGGGGAGCGAAUGGGAUUAGAUACCCCACUAAUCCUAGACCGUAAACGAUGGAUACUAGGUGUUGUCUGUAUCGACCCGGACAGUGCCGUAACUUACCCCUUCAGUAUCCCGCCCGGGGAGUACGCACGCUCGUGUGAAUCCCAGGGGAAUGCCGGGG
rnacentral:rRNA from 1 species